UAUAAUUCAAAAAAGUAAUCCUGAGAUGGCUGUAGCAACUGUAGCUGCAAAACUAGGAUUCUUCGACAACGAAGACGCCAUUUGUUCGACUAAAUAUUGUUGUUGCACUGAAUUUGUGUUGAUGUCUUUCAUGAAUUUGUUCAAAAAUGUUGGAUCUGUUGUAUUCACUAAUGGCACUGUUAUUUCAGCUUGAGGUGGUUGGGGAUGAUUGUGUUCCCCUUCAUAUGUAGCUACUAAAAUUGAUGCAUCUUUAACACUUCUUUGUACCUUUUUCUUGACUGGACAUGAUGGUGCAAAUGAACACUUAAAAUAGGCUCUUGGAGAAGGAUUAUCUCUUGUCACUUUUUGACCAUAUUUUCUCCAAUUAUAUCCAUCUUUCACCACUGAAGUUUGAUCGGAGGGAUUAGUUUUAACACAAACAGUUGAAAUAUUAGUUGUGAUUUCUCUUGGCAUCUUUGGUGAUGCUUCUUCAAAAUUGAUGUAUGAAUUAUUCACACAAUAAUCUUCUUCAGCCUUUCUUUUUCUUGAUAAUAAUAAUUUAGAGUUGUCUUCUUCAUGAUUUGAGUAUUUUUGUUGCAACUCAAUUAUAUGAGUUUGCAAAGAAUUGUA
rnacentral:misc_RNA from 1 species